rnacentral:lncRNA from 1 species
GAGGCAUUGCAAGGACCGGGCUAGAUGCCGGCAUGGAAGCAAAAGUUGGAGCUGGAAUAUCUGGAAUAAACCCUGGAGGCAUACCCCACGGGAACCCGGCUGGCAUGGCAUUCGGCAUGAACUGGGCACUAGCAGCUGGCACAGUCGGAGCAACCACUUCUGAUAUAACAGUCCUCUGGGGAGGAGUUGCAGGAGGUGGAGAAGGUUGAUUCUGAGCAG